GCCACUUGAUUGAGUGAGACUAGAAAUGCAUGGUCAUGCUCAAAUAAGCUGAUAUGAGAAGUCAUACUUAUUUGUAUAUCAUAGUCUACUUAAAAUAUCAAGGAACAUGGAAUGGACUAUGCAAGUGUGACUAUUCCAUGACUUGUGUCCAAUCCAGAGAUAAAAAACUUAAAGAUUAUUGCAUGAAAGGUUAAUCAUAUAAAUGUUAUGUCGAAUCAUGAUUUCUUGUGACUUAGGUAGCAAUGAUGCAUUGCUAGGUGCC
rnacentral:lncRNA from 1 species